CCCCUAGAUGUUCUGGGCCGCACGCGCGCUACACUGAACAGUUCAACAAGUCUUAACCUUGGCCGAUAGGUCUGGGUAAUCUUUGAACGCUGUUCGUGAUUGGGAUAGACCUUUGCAAUUAUGGGCCUUCAACGAGGAAUUCCUAGUAAACGCAAGUCAUCAGCUUGCAUUGAUUACGUCCCUGCCCUUUGUACACACCGCCCGUCGCACCUACCGAUUGAAUGGUCCGGUGAAAUCUCGGGACGGCGGCUUGGUCGCUUGCGUCCGACUGCUGAAACUUGAUUAAACCAUAUCAUUUAGAGGAAGGUGAANUCGUAACA
rnacentral:rRNA from 1 species